ACUCUGGAACUGCCAUUAAAACUUUUCAGCUAGAGUAUGAUAGAGGAAAGCAGAAUUUCUAGUGUAGAGGUGAAAUUCGUAGAUAUUAGAAAGAAUACCAAUUGCGAAGGCAGCUUUCUGGAUCAUUACUGACACUGAGGAACGAAAGCAUGGGUAGCGAAGAGGAUUAGAUACCCUCGUAGUCCAUGCCGUAAACGAUGUGUGUUAGACGUUGGAAAUUUAUUUUCAGUGUCGCAGCGAAAGCGAUAAACACACCGCCUGGGGAGUACGACCGCAAGGUUAAAACUCAAAUGAAUUGACGGGGACCCGCACAAGUAGUGGAGCAUGUGGUUUAAUUCGAAGAUACGCGCAGAACCUUACCAACACUUGACAUGUUCGUCGCGACUCUAAGAGAUUAGAGUUUUCGGUUCGGCCGGACGAAACACAGGUGCUGCAUGGCUGUCGUCAGCUCGUGUCGUGAGAUGUUGGGUUAAGUCCCGCAACGAGCGCAACCCUCACUUUUAGUUGCCAUCAUUAAGUUGGGCACUCUGAAAGAACUGCCAGUGAUAAGCUGGAGGAAGGUGGGGAUGACGUCAAGUCCUCAUGGCCCUUACGUGUUGGGCUACACACGUGCUACAAUGGUAUCUACAACAGGAAGCAAGACUGCGAGGUCAAGCAAAUCCUUAAAAGAUACCUCAGUUCGGAUUGCACUCUGCAACUCGAGUGCAUGAAGCUGGAAUUACUAGUAAUCGUGGAUCAGCGUGCCACGGUGAAUGCGUUCCCGGGUCUUGUACACACCGCCCGUCACACCAUGGGAGUUGGUUCUACCUUAAGGCAAGGUUUAAAACCCUUGACCACGGUAUAGUCAGCGACUGGGGUGAAGUCGUAACAAGGUAGCCGUAGGGGAACCUGCGGCUG
rnacentral:rRNA from 1 species